rnacentral:rRNA from 1 species
UGAGUAUCACGUGGGCAACCUGCCUGUAAGAUUGGGAUAACUCGCGGAAACGUGAGCUAAUACCGAAUGAAGUCUUUCACCGCCUGGUGAAAGGAUGAAAGAUGGCUUUUAGCUAUCACUUACAGAUGGGCCCGCGGCGCAUUAGCUAGUUGGUGGGGUAAAGGCCUACCAAGGCGACGAUGCGUAGCCGACCUGAGAGGGUGAUCGGCCACACUGGGACUGAGACACGGCCCAGACUCCUACGGGAGGCAGCAGUAGGGAAUCUUCCGCAAUGGACGAAAGUCUGACGGAGCAACGCCGCGUGAGUGAUGAAGGUCUUCGGAUCGUAAAACUCUGUUGUCAGGGAAGAACAAGUUGUGUUCUAACAGGACAUGACCUUGACGGUACCUGACCAGAAAGCCCCGGCUAACUACGUGCCAGCAGCCGCGGUAAUACGUAGGGGGCAAGCGUUGUCCGGAAUUAUUGGGCGUAAAGCGCGCGCAGGCGGUCCUUUAAGUCCGAUGUGAA